rnacentral:rRNA from 1 species
AUCCUACGGGGGGCAGCAGUGGGGGAUAUUGGACAAGGGGGGAAACCCUGAUCCAGCGAUGCCGCGUGAGGGAAGAAGGUUUUCGGAUUGUAAACCUCUGUGGAGGGGGACGAUAAUGACGGUACCCCUUUAGGAAGCCACGGCUAACUACGUGCCAGCAGCCGCGGUAAUACGUAGGUGGCGAGCGUUGUCCGGAAUUACUGGGUGUAAAGGGAGCGUAGACGGUUCUGCAAGUCUGAAGUGAAAGCCCGUGGCUUAACCGCGGAACGGCUUUGGAAACUGUGGAACUGGAGUGCUGGAGAGGG